rnacentral:rRNA from 1 species
AGUGAACGCUGGCGGCGUGCUUAACACAUGCAAGUCGAACGAGAACGGAAUAUAGCUUGCUAUAUUUGUCAGCUAAGUGGCGCACGGGUGAGUAAUGUAUAGAUAACCUGCCCCUAAGAAAGGAAUAACAGUUGGAAACGACUGCUAAUGCCCUAUAUGCCUUUAACACAUAAGUAUGCAAGGGAAACGCUUUAGUGCUUAAGGAUGGGUCUGUAUGGUAUCAGCUUGUUGGUGAGGUAAUGGCUCACCAAGGCUAUGACGCCUAACUGGUUUGAGAGGAUGAUCAGUCACACUGGAAUUGAGACACGGUCCAGACUCCUACGGGAGGCAGCAGUGGGGAAUAUUGCACAAUGGACGAAAGUCUGAUGCAGCAACGCCGCGUGGAGGAUGACACAUUUCGGUGCGUAAACUCCUUUUAUAUAGGAAGAUAAUGACGGUACUAUAUGAAUAAGCACCGGCUAACUCCGUGCCAGCCGCCGCCGUAA